UACGUGCGGGGCGAACGUUGUUCGGUGUCACUGGGCUUAAAGGGUGCGUAGGUGGUUUCGUAAGUAAGGUGUGAAAGCCCUCGGCUUACCCGGGGAAUUGCGCCUUAUACUGCGAGACUUGAGGAUUUCAGGGGAAUGGGGAACUCCAGGUGUAGCGGUGAAAUGCGCAGAUAUCGUAAGGAAGACCAGUGGCGAAGGCGGGUCUCUGGACAGUUCCUGACGCUGAGGCACGAAGGCCAGGGGAGCAAACGGG
rnacentral:rRNA from 1 species